UUUUUACUAUAGAAACUCAACAUAUUUAUUUCAUUCUCUAAAAACACAAAUUCCAUUAAGGGUCUAAAAUUGGCCCAACUUUGAAGCCACAAUAAGAUUCUGGUAUGGUGCAAAAGUUUUUCCUCCAACAGAAAACGACUACAAAGAUAAUUAAAACUCAGAGAGACUGACUACCCAGAUUAUCUGUCAACAAAAUCUGCUACCGAAACAGUCCAUCUGCCUUCAUCUAAAGCUCAUCAUGAGAAUCCUCUUCCUUCUCUAGAUCACUAUCCUCGUCCGCUGCAUCAGCAUCAUCAAAACCAUCUUCAUCAUCUAUAUCAGCAUCAUCAUCAUCCUUCGACUCCUCCUCAGUUUUACUCUUCUCAGCUUCAUCAAAUGCAGCCUUCUCGGCAUCCUUCUGCUUUCCCCAUGUUUCUUCGGCAAGCUUCUUUGCAUAUUCAGGGUCAUCAGCAACUAGAACAUUGUCAAACAAUGUUCCGGAUUUCACCUGCCAUAGCUCAAUGCCAACAUAUUUCAGAUUGUCAAAAGCAUAAAUGUAAGGA
rnacentral:misc_RNA from 1 species